CAGUAGCCGCGGUAAUACGAAGGGUGCAAGCGUUAAUCGGAAUUACCGGGCGUAAGGCGUGCGCAGGCGGUUAUAUAAGUCAGAUGUGAAAUCCCCGGGCUCAACCUGGGAACUGCAUUUGAGACUGUAUGGCUAGAGUGUGUCAGAGGGGGGUAGAAGUCCACGUGUAGCAGUGAAAUGCGUAGAUAUGUGGAGGAAUACCGAUGGCGAAGGCAGCCCCCUGGGAUAACACUGACGCUCAUGCACGAAAGCGUGGGGAGCAAACAGGAUUAGAUACCCCAGUAGUCCCUGUCUCUUAUAC
rnacentral:rRNA from 1 species